AACCUCGCAGAGCGGCGGGGUGGCCCUGGCGAGGCGCGGUUGUUGGGGGUUCGCUCGAGCCUCACGACGCCCGCGACUGGGGACUCGGAACCUGGGCCAGGCUGGGACGAGGCCGCGCGGGAGGGCGCGCUGGGCGGACGCUGGGGCCGCGGAGCCCAACCGCCCUUGUCCUGGACGCCCCUUGGCGGUCCGCACUGGCGGGUGCCCUCUCCCGAGGGGAACUGAGGCGGGGCGCCUGCCACCAUUCGUGAUUUUCCGUGACUCACCCUCUCAACAGUGUCCCGUCAGCCCCCGCUUUCUGGAAUUAAGAUGAUUUUCCAUGGGCAUUAUAGUCAGAGGAGGUUUUCUGUGAGACAUCUGGGAAAGGUGACUCAAUGAUCACUCAUAUUGUUCUAUGAUGUUAUACAUUUAACCGGAAUACUGGUGAACAGCUUUUAUAUCUUGGAAUUUUUUCCCAUUUUUGAAUCAGAAAUUUAGGACCAAGAAUCUUCUGUCACAGAACCUAUUACUUUGAGGAGUGAACUUAUAUUAACGGUGCUAAACCGUACAUGAACGACUUGGUAGAUGAAAACUUUGGAAAAUAGGAACAUUUCAUGUCAUCACAUGUAUCCUCCAGCAUUGGGGAAAAUUCAACAGUUGCCUUAAGGCGGGAGUUUAAUUGAGGACAUUUACUAAAAAGUUACUUAUUCUGUUUGAAAUUCUCUUCUGAUAAACAUCUUCCCGGGAUAACGAACAUCUCCAGGAUGUGAGAGCCGAGCGCGUGUCCGCGGAGUGCUUGAGCAACGCAGAAUGGCUUCGGUGCUGCGUUCCUUAGACCCCGUGCGGACCCUGCUGAGCCCUCAGCAUCUUUAUCUGGAUUAGAGAUCUGAUUUUCAAAAGUUGUCAUGUUUUUGUAAACCUUCAACCAAAAGGCUUAAAAGGAGAAGAUUGUGAAUAAUUGGUCUACUUUGAAGCUCAGAAGAGUCAUUGUGAAUAAUAUGGACAGAGUAAAAGAGUUAUGACAUUAGCUGUUAGUGACAUUAGCUCGAAGCCCACAAUAGUCAUAGAAAGGGGGAGACUUCACAACACCAUCUCCCUGGUAUCCACUGGACUUUGAUGGGUGGCAUCCACUAGCGGAAUUCAGAAAAAUGAAGGUGUGAAAUCGGUUUUUAUAAAGAAGAGAACCAUGCUAUGGAGAAGGAUUACUGUAUCGCCUCUUCAGAAGCCUUGUAUGAUGCCAUCCUGGGAUACAGCUGAGGUAUAGAUGAAAGGAUUCAGCAUCGGAGCCACCAUUGAAUACAUGAUGGUUGACA
rnacentral:lncRNA from 1 species